AGUGAACGCUGGCGGUAGGCCUAACACAUGCAAGUCGAACGGCAGCACAGUAAGAGCUUGCUCUUACGGGUGGCGAGUGGCGGACGGGUGAGGAAUACAUCGGAAUCUACUUUUUCGUGGGGGAUAACGUAGGGAAACUUACGCUAAUACCGCAUACGACCUACGGGCGAAAGCAGGGGAUCUUCGGACCUUGCGCGAUUGAAUGAGCCGAUGUCGGAUUAGCUAGUUGGCGGGGUAAAGGCCCACCAAGGCGACGAUCCGUAGCUGGUCUGAGAGGAUGAUCAGCCACACUGGAACUGAGACACGGUCCAGACUCCUACGGGAGGCAGCAGUGGGGAAUAUUGGACAAUGGGCGCAAGCCUGAUCCAGCCAUACCGCGUGGGUGAAGAAGGCCUUCGGGUUGUAAAGCCCUUUUGCUGGGAAAGAAAAGCAGCAGGUUAAUACCCCGCUGUUCUGACGGUACCCAAAGAAUAAGCACCGGCUAACUUCGUG
rnacentral:rRNA from 1 species